rnacentral:rRNA from 1 species
UACGUAGGGUGCAAGCGUUGUCCGGAAUUAUUGGGCGUAAAGAGCGUGUAGGCGGCCCGGUUAGUCCGCUGUGAAAGUCCAGGGCUCAACCCUGGAAUGCCGGUGGAUACUGUCGGGCUAGAGUCCGGAAGGGGCGAAGUGGAAUUCCUGGUGUAGCGGUGAAAUGCGCAGAUAUCAGGAGGAACACCAAUGGCGAAGGCAGCUCGCUGGGACGUGACUGACGCUGAGACGCGAAAGCGUGGGGAGCAAACAGG